rnacentral:rRNA from 1 species
GGUUAAGCGACUAAGCGUACACGGUGGAUGCCCUGGCAGUCAGAGGCGAUGAAGGACGUGCUAAUCUGCGAUAAGCGCCGGUAAGGUGAUAUGAACCGUUAUAACCGGCGAUUUCCGAAUGGGGAAACCCAGUGUGACUCGUCACACUAUCAUUAACUGAAUCCAUAGGUUAAUGAGGCGAACCGGGGGAACUGAAACAUCUAAGUACCCCGAGGAAAAGAAAUCAACCGAGAUUCCCCCAGUAGCGGCGAGCGAACGGGGAGGAGCCCAGAGCCUGAAUCAGCAUGUGUGUUAGUGGAAGCGUCUGGAAAGGCGCGCGAUACAGGGUGACAGCCCCGUACACAAAAGCGCAUGUGCUGUGAGCUCGAUGAGUAGGGCGGGACACGUGGUAUCCUGUCUGAAUAUGGGGGGACCAUCCUCCAAGGCUAAAUACUCCUGACUGACCGAUAGUGAACCAGUACCGUGAGGGAAAGGCGAAAAGAACCCCGGCGAGGGGAGUGAAAAAGAACCUGAAACCGUGUACGUACAAGCAGUGGGAGCACAGGUUUACCUGUGUGACUGCGUACCUUUUGUAUAAUGGGUCAGCGACUUAUAUUCUGUAGCAAGGUUAACCGAAUAGGGGAGCCGGAGGGAAACCGAGUCUUAAUUGGGCGUUAAGUUGCAGGGUAUAGACCCGAAACCCGGUGAUCUAGCCAUGGGCAGGUUGAAGGUUGGGUAACACUAACUGGAGGACCGAACCGACUAAUGUUGAAAAAUUAGCGGAUGACCUGUGGCUGGGGGUGAAAGGCCAAUCAAACCGGGAGAUAGCUGGUUCUCCCCGAAAGCUAUUUAGGUAGCGCCUCGUGAACUCAUCUCCGGGGGUAGAGCACUGUUUCGGCUAGGGGGCCAUCCCGGCUUACCAACCCGAUGCAAACUGCGAAUACCGGAGAAUGUUAUCACGGGAGACACACGGCGGGUGCUAACGUCCGUCGUGAAGAGGGAAACAACCCAGACCGCCAGCUAAGGUCCCAAAGUCAUGGUUAAGUGGGAAACGAUGUGGGAAGGCCCAGACAGCCAGGAUGUUGGCUUAGAAGCAGCCAUCAUUUAAAGAAAGCGUAAUAGCUCACUGGUCGAGUCGGCCUGCGCGGAAGAUGUAACGGGGCUAAACCAUGCACCGAAGCUGCGGCAGCGACACUCAGGUGUUGUUGGGUAGGGGAGCGUU